rnacentral:tRNA from 1 species
CAAGGCGUAGCGCAGUCCGGUAGCGCACUGUGUUCGGGACGCAGGGGUCGGAGGUUCAAAUCCUCUCGCCUCGA